UCUUUUCUAUUGUAUGUCCUUUUUCAGAAAAUCAAUGACUAACGCAGUUUAAGACGAUGUGAUUGGUGCUGCUUCCGAGCUGGUGUGCAGCAGUGUGUGACCCCACUCCCUCUUUACAAAUACUGAAAUACUCUCCAGAGCUCCACAUGUGAAUUCAGGGUUUGAGGCUGAAGAGCAGUUGGCAGAAGGAAGAAAACCCACAGAAAUGGACCUCCGAAAUGCAGAAGUGUCCUGAAUGUGUCAUCCCUCCAGGGAGCCGGUCGAUGCGGCGACAUCCUGAUGCUGCUGGUCACUGAACCAGACAGGGGCUCCCUGCCAUGAAGGACAGGUCAGAGUGAAUCCUACCUGAUGACAGACGGACAGACAUAAGCUGCAGCAGAGACAACUCAGCCUGACUGCUGAUGACCAAAGACAUCAGAUUACCUCUCAUCUGAAUGCUCGACAGCUCCGCCGUUUAAAAGGUCCUGAGGAUUGUGAGAGUCGAUAAAUUCCCAGGCUGCUGCUCAUUUUCUUGGCCCAGUUUGGGUAUGUGAUGACCAAUGAUUGGAUUGUUUGUUAUUUGGCUCGGGAUAUGUCC